rnacentral:rRNA from 1 species
AUUGAACGCUGGCGGCAGGCCUAACACAUGCAAGUCGAACGAGUGGCGGACGGGUGAGUAAUGUCUGGGAAACUGCCCGAUGGAGGGGGGUAACUACUGGAAACGGUAGCUAAUACCGCAUACCAUCGGAUGUGCCCAGAUGGGAUUAGCUAGUAGGGGGGGUAACGGCUCACAGAGGAGACGAUCCCUAGCUGGUCUGAGAGGAUGACCAGCAACACUGGAACUGAGACAAGGUCCAGACUCCUACGGGAGGCAGCAGUGGGGAAUAUUGCACAAGGUGCGCAAUCCUGAUGCAGCCAUGCCGCGUGUAUGAAGAAGGCCUUCGGGUUGUAAAGUACUUUCAGCGAGGAGGCGUUACUCGCAGAAGAAGCACCGGCUAACUCCGUGCCAGCAGCCGCGGUAAUAC